rnacentral:rRNA from 1 species
GGGGAGAAGACAUUGUGUCUUCGAGUCGUUGAUUUCACACUGCCGAGAAAAGCCUCUAGAUAGAAAAUAGGUGCCCGUACCGCAAACCGACACAGGUAGUCAAGAUGAGAAUUCUAAGGUGAGCGAGCGAACUCUCGUUAAGGAACUCGGCAAAAUGACCCCGUAACUUCGGGAGAAGGGGUGCUCUUUAGGGUUAACGCCCAGAAGAGCCGCAGUGAAUAGGCCCAAGCGACUGUUUAUCAAAAACACAGGUCUCUGCUAAACCGUAAGGUGAUGUAUAGGGGCUGACGCCUGCCCGGUGCUGGAAGGUUAAGAGGAGUGGUUAGCUUCUGCGAAGCUACGAAUCGAAGCCCCAGUAAACGGCGGCCGUAACUAUAACGGUCCUAAGGUAGCGAAAUUCCUUGUCGGGUAAGUUCCGACCCGCACGAAAGGCGUAACGAUUUGGGCACUGUCUCAACGAGAGACUCGGUGAAAUCAUAGUACCUGUGAAGAUGCAGGUUACCCGCGACAGGACGGAAAGACCCCGUGGAGCUUUACUGUAGCCUGAUAUUGAAAUUCGGCACAGCUUGUACAGGAUAGGUA